GUCACGUAUAGCCUAUGACUACAUUCAAAUCCCUUUAUCACGAUGACACCCACGCUUAUAUCACUGCUUGUGAUUACAAAUUAGAUUUUCUGUAAACGGAAGAAGGGGAGAAGGCUGUUCACGGAAUAUAAAAAAUCUAGUCUGCGACGUUCUGAAGGUACCAAACCACAAUAUUUUUCUAAUUCUGUGAGUUGGACAUCGGAAGAAUCUAAGCGAGAUAGGUAUAGCACUGCAGCCUCCAAUUGUAUAUCUUUUGUUAGAAUUCCUUCGCCGAUGUAACAAGCAAGGAGCCAUCCGCUUGGGGCAUGUAAAUUGGAUCGGACUGGUUGAUUUGAAAAUUCCUCGGUGGAAGCAAUACUUAUCUGAGAUGUUCUGGCAUAAAUAAUUGGUGCAGUACCAGUCUGCAGUGAGGGGCAUGGUGAUUGGUCUGUUUUGGAAAGGCAACCCUUAUCUUUAUCUACUUGUUGGGCCACAUUCUUGACUGCACUCUUGUCACCUUUGCCACAAGACCUUCUAGUCAUGCCGGUCAAAAGUUUACGGUCACUGUUUCCAGGUACUUUGUCAUGAGGUUUGGAGACCUUUGGAGUAAUUGAAGGAUAUCGAUCAAACUGUGAGUGAGCUGAUUG